UAAUCACUAGCCAACAUUUAUCAUUUGCUAAAUAUUGGCAUGUCAACUUUUGACAUCGAACCAAUCAUGCUCUAUAAAUUAUGGGCAGUGAUAGGCGCCGGCGCGCCGGCCCAAAUUUCGGCCGGUCCGCUGCCGAGCGUACGAUACAGACUUUUUUAACCGUACGAUACAACUUUUCCUCUGUCUCUAAAAAGUCAACCAUGCUGAAAAAAGGUAGCGACCAGAAUCCACGCACUCGCCGGCCAGAAUAUGCGUGCUCGCCGGCCGCCCACACUUGUCCUCGGCAUCUCAUGCUUGCUGGUCACCUGUGCCACCGCGCCCGCCCACCCGUGUUCGCCGGCGCUCGCGUCAUUGCGCUUGUCUCGGCUGUCUCUGCUCGCCAUGGUUACAACUCGAACGCAGACGGGUUCCAGCUUGUGGUCACCAUGGUUGCAGCAUCUCCGUCGUCUCCGUCUCCGGCUCGCCGCCGUCAUUGACUUGCACCGCAACCGCCAUGUCCAGCAAAAACAAAUCUAAAAAGCAACAAAAACUUCCAAUACACGGUUGAAGCAAAAAGAUUAGCUGGUUCCAGCAAAACUUGAUGCUAUUUCCAGCAAAAAUCGAAUGCAACAAAAACCUCUGGUACUCGGUUGAAGCAAAUAGAUUUGCCGGUUCCAACAAAACUUGAUGGUGGUUCCAGCAAAAAUCUCAGCAGCAAAAAGCGAUAAGCCAAUUGUAGCAAAUGAAUUAGCCAGUUCCAGCAAAAAGUAAUGCUGGUUCCAGCAAAAUAGCCUCAGGCAAAAAAAAAGACUAGUGCCCAUUGUAGCAAAAAAAGAAAGACGGUUCCAGCAAAAAUAAAGGCUGGUUCCAGCAAAAAAUGUGUCACCUGUCCAGGACGCGUGCGGUCCAACAUCAGGGGACACUGGUUCCAGCAUCGUCAUGUGCCGGUUGCAGCUCCCUAGUCCGUCGGUUCCAGCAUCGUUGCCUGAGCAGGAACCGGUCGCCAUCGUCACGCACCAUGGUGACGUAGCGGGGUGCGCGAGCUUGCAGCGCAGUCGUCGGGCCCCUUGCUCGCAGCUCCAAGGAGCCGAGCGUGUGUGAGCAGCAUGUACUUGAGCUCAACCUCAUGGAUCCAUGGCGUAUUGCGCAGGACAUGAGACAGGAAAGCAAAAAACACGAACAAGCUCACCCCCUCUCAUGGAUCUAUGAUGGAAAAAACCGCGGAGAACAGAUAAGGCAACAAAAACGAACUCAAUUUCAUGAAGAUUUGGUGUGGAUUCUUGAAGAGAGAGCACAAGAAGAAAGGGGAGAGAAAUUGAGCAAGGGGGGUUGAAGGACGAGACGCCUGCUGUGGUCUCCAGAAUAUGCGAGGGGAUAAGAUGAAAGCGGUGAAGAUAGACUUAGCUUUGUGGGUGGUGGGCCAGGACUGGGCCAGGACUGCGUAGCGACGCGAGCGUGGUGACCGGCCGAACGCUCGGCCGGCGCACCGUUUGCAAACGUUUACCUUAUUAUCCCAUGGAUUUCAAA
rnacentral:lncRNA from 1 species